rnacentral:RNase_P_RNA from 1 species
CGAAGCAGAACAGGUGGUCGCCCCCGAACACUCUGGUGGACGGGGGAGGAAAGUCCGAGCUCCACAGGGCAAGGUGCUCCGUAAUACGGAGUCUCCCGUUCGACGGGGGAAGGAAAGUGCCACAGAAAGGGAAACCACCCCUGCCAUGUAUUGAAAGAUGGCCGGGGAAAGGGUGAAAAGGUGUCCGUUGAAAGCGGAGCUGCACUCGUUGCAGCAGGUAAGAGCUCACCAGUGUCCCGGGUGACCGGGGCAGCUUGGUAAACCCCGCCUGGAGCAAGACCAAAUAGGUUCCGCCUUGAAAGGGGCCCCCUUGAAUCCUGUUUUUACAGGAGGCGGAACGGGUAAGGUCGCAUGACCCCGGCUGUAAAGCCAGGGCUCAGAUGAAUGACCGCAGCCUGUUAAAGGGCAGACAGAACUCGGCUUAUGGACUGCUUCGGCAU